GAGGAAGUGAACCCGGAGAACUGAAACAUCUAAGUACCCGGAGGAAGAGAAAACAAUUAGUGAUUCCGUUAGUAGUGGCGAGCGGACGCGGAAUAGCCCAAACCACACUGGUUACGGCCAGUGUGGGGUUGUAGGACUGCGACAUUUUAACAAAAACGAACUGGAACGACUUGGGAAAGUCGACCAAAGAGGGUGAGAGUCCCGUACAGGAAAGGUUUUGAGCGAUAGCAGUAUCCUGAGUAGGGCGGGGCAGGUGAAACCCCGUCUGAAUCUACCGGCACCAUCCGGUAAGGCUAAAUACUCCUGAGAGACCGAUAGUGAACCAGUACCGUGAGGGAAAGGUGAAAAGUACCUUGAAUAAAGGGGUGAAAUA
rnacentral:rRNA from 14 species